AACGAACGCUGGCGGCAUGCCUAACACAUGCAAGUCGAACGAAGCCUUCGGGCUUAGUGGCGCACGGGUGCGUAACGCGUGGGAAUCUGCCCUUUGGUUCGGAAUAACAGUUGGAAACGACUGCUAAUACCGGAUGAUGACGAAAGUCCAAAGAUUUAUCGCCAGAGGAUGAGCCCGCGUAGGAUUAGCUAGUUGGUGUGGUAAAGGCGCACCAAGGCGACGAUCCUUAGCUGGUCUGAGAGGAUGACCAGCCACACUGGGACUGAGACACGGCCCAGACUCCUACGGGAGGCAGCAGUGGGGAAUAUUGGACAAUGGGCGAAAGCCUGAUCCAGCAAUGCCGCGAGUGAUGAAGGCCCUAGGGUUGUAAAGCUCUUUUACCCGGGAUGAUAAUGACAGUACCGGGAGAAUAAGCCCCGGCUAACUCCGUGCCAGCAGCCGCCGUAA
rnacentral:rRNA from 1 species